GGCGGAGCGAGCUGGGCGGCGCGCGGCGCGCUGGGACUGUGGGGACACCCUGGUGGAGCCGCUGAAGCCGGCCUGGCUUGAGUGACAACCUCUACCUGAAUGACAUAUACAUCUGAGAACUGCUGCUGACUUCUUGAAGAUCCCCUGGAGGAAGAAAUGGCAACCCACUCCAGUAUUCUUGCCUGGAAAAUCCCUUGAACAGAGCUUGGUGGGCUACAGUCCAUAGGGUUGUGAAGAGUCAGACACGACUGAGCAUGUUCGCACACAGCACAGCUGGCUGACUUCUUAAAUCUCUUCUCACUCUUAGAUAAGGAAGACAUCUUUCAGACAGUGGCUCCUCCUCAGACUUGAUUCAAAGAGAGAACACACAGCAAUGCAAGCUGAACCCAAAAGAGCCUAGCAGAACCCAGUAAUAUGAGAUGAAGAAGCUGUUUGGCAGCCAAAGAUGGACAUUUCUCCUGAAGAGGAUAUUGGAAAAGGAAGGACUCCUCAGAAGGGCUUCCCUGGUGGCUCAGAGGUUAAAGCAUCUGCCUCCAAUGCGGGAGA